UCAUAGAGUGUUAGACCUACUACAGUCGAACUGUCCUAUAACUACUGUGCACUGUAGCCUUGUCACUGACCUCGAAAUAUGUGUCUGACAACUUUAAGGUAGUCAAGAAACCAUUUAAAAGCUACUUGUCUAGUUUCGUUUUUAACUUUUUUUCUUCUGGGAGUAAAACAUGUUGCAAUCAAAACUGUUUUAUAGAGUAUAUAGUUUACCGACAACAUGUUUCCCAUAGUUUUUAUAAAAAGCUAUAGAUUUUAUAAUAUUGUUUAAACCAGUGUUUGUGAUUACCGUUUCCUUAAUGUCUCAAAAGCUGUUAAAAAAAUAAUUGUUACUAGAUAUUUGUUACUGCUCAAGACAACUACGGCUACUAUCAGAACCAAAAUCGAUGGAUCUUGAAACGUAGUGUUCUUCUUAAAUCAUUGGACGAUGGCAAAUAUGUCUAGAACAUCCCGUUUCCUUCACAAUUAAUCCAUCGCCAGAAACAAAAUCUAGACCAAUAACUGGCUCCCAUGUGAGUUUCAUCAAAGGCUGUUGGGAUGUCGCAAUCAAGAAGAUGUAUAGGUAUAGGUUGUACAUAAUAAAUAUUGUCCUCAUAAAUAUAGAAUGCUCUUUUAAAUUGAGUUAUAUUUUACUAUAGAAUUCGCUAAGCAAUUUCUUGAUAAAAUGUUUAAAAUAUAUUUAAAUAAGACUGUACAGAAUUAAUUUAUGAGCCAGUAUCUAAUCACUCGCCUCCGGCAGAGUUGAAUGGUACACAUUGUACUGACAUGCAUUAUCAGAAUACCAAUAUUCUAAUACCCUCCGGCUGACAUAUUCCCACUCUAGGUCAACCAUAAACUCAUCAAAAUCCGAUAAAGGUUACGAUCUGAUUAACAACAGUUGAACAGAUCACGUGUGAACACUAUUCUAAUACCCUCUAGCUGAUAAUAUAUACCCAUAACUGGGUCGACCUGAAACUCAUCAAAAUCCCUUAAAGGUUACGGUCUGAUUGUUUUUGGUCUGAUUAACAACAGUUGAACACAUCAGUCAAUUACAAAAAAAGUUACAGUCAGUUCGGUAAAGACUUGCUUACCAUUUUUUUUUUUUUUUUUUUCAUUUUUCGGUACUCGGACUGUAUCUGUUUCCUUUCUUUAAUAAGCAUAUGCUUGUCUUACCCUCUUUCUUAUAUCUCUUUCUUUUUACAGUGUAUUUAGUGAUGAUGGCUUUAAAAUAAAGUACAUUAAUUGUAAUUAAAACAUUUAAAAAUCCGAGUGUAAGAUAGAGAGGUAAGAAAGAUGUUUUCUCUUGAAAUACUAAAUUAUUUGUUUUUUGGAUUAGCGGUAUAAUUACGAAGCUCUACGCCAUUUAUAUUACUAAACGAAUUGAAUAUUUGUUCGUAUUAAUGACAUGACCUAUUUAAAAAAAUGUGUUUAUUUUAGAUGAGAGUGUGCAUGUUUUUGUACAUUUUAUGCUUGAAAAGAGGCAUCCCCUUCUUAACACCAAUAAAGUUAUUAAGCAAUUAAAAUUUGAUUUAGUGGUUCAUUUCACUUCAAAUGCUUAAAAUUACAAAUUUUAGCAUAAUCACUAAACUUUUUGUUUUACAGAUAUAAUGUAUUAUUGUGUUGUAUACUACAGUACAUGCAUGUAAAUAAAUUUAUGAUUUCUUAAUAUAUAAAAAAAUUCCUUAUCAAUGA